rnacentral:rRNA from 1 species
UACGGGGGGGGCAAGCGUUGUUCGGAAUUACUGGGCGUAAAGGGCUCGUAGGGGGCCAACUAAGUCAUACGUGAAAUCCCUCGGCUUAACCGGGGAACUGCGUCUGAUACUGGAUGGCUUGAGGUUGGGAGAGGGAUGCGGAAUUCCAGGUGUAGCGGUGAAAUGCGUAGAUAUCUGGAGGAAUACCGGUGGCGAAGGCGGCAUCCUGGACCGGCAUUGACGCUGAGGAGCGAAAGCUAGGGGAGCAAACGGG